CUCAAAACUAUCAAAGCCAUCAAAAACAAGAUGAGCGAAGUGAGGUGCAGAGCUGUCUGGCAGGUUGGUCAAAAUUGAACACUGAAUAUGUGACAUAGAGUUUGAAGCCUACUCUUUUGAACAACCCUGUAUUUUUACUGAGUGCCCACUAUGAGCCAGGCCAUCUGACAGGACACUGAGGAAGUAUACCAGUGAUUAUGUGAAUGCAGAAAAAGAUGCAAGGGUGAGGAUGGAGAGAAUGCAAAGGGAAGAAUUUUAGGAGGAGGAGCCUGAUGCGCAGGCCAGUGUACAACUGAAAGUGAGACUGGCCAGGACAAUUUACUGGAGAACGUGGACUAAGCCAGAAAGAGAAGACAGUAGGAAUUGGAAAGGAUUCAGAGAAAGGGCGCUUCAUAGAAAAAAAUAGAAUUUAAUGGGGAAAAAAUUUGAAUUCUCCUCCCUAUCCAUUUCUAGGGACAGUGGCAGGUUCAUUGGCGUAGAACUAUGGACAGAAAAGUGGUGUGGCCCAGAGAGUCCUGGGAAACAGAAACUAGAGCCCAUUGCUACUGAGAGCCCUGUAGGGACGGAGCAAUCCCGUGCUUAGAGACGUCAAAGCCUCCAAUGUAGCGUAGCCAUGGGGCAGGGAUUCACAGAAAGCAGUGAGAUUUUUUGGGGUCUCUAUAUGUGGGAACUGUGAAUGUGUAUGUGGCUUGAGGCAGCUAGGAAACCUCAGUCCUCUAGGUUUCUAUACACUUAAGUGAGGUAAGUGUUUUAGAGGAGAUUCAUUAAUGUCUCAAAGUAUCUUUGAGUAAGACUGCUUCUCCGGAAUUCAAUGUAUUUCCAGUAACUAUGGGAAACCGGAUGGGUGGGUAAAUACACCACUGACAAUAUUCUAUGAAAUUUCUUAUAUACACAAAAUAGGAAUUUUUGUAAAUUCUAGAAAGAUUUUAUAUAAAUAGGAAAUUAAUACUGAUUCUGCCAAGGUUUAUUAAGCUUAUAUGUGUAUGGGUACACACAUAUUAAGACACUAUAAAGAGACUGGAAAAAGAGCUCUCUUUCUCAGCUUAAAUAAUAAACUCCUUGAGAAGUUAUUGUUGUUACAUUUCCACAGUGUCCCACAGAAUGUGCCACGCAGAAUGUAGGUAUACCUCAUUUCACACAACUGUCUUUGAAAAAUUUGUUCUCCCUUGUGCUUUUGCUGUAGAGCAACAAAUCUGGAAUCCACAUGCAUGAUUCACAAGUUUCCGAACAUGAAUUCUGGCUCCUAUGUCUGUUUCUGUGGUAUUUACAAACAUUCCAAAUGCUACCAUAUUAGAGCGAUCAUUAUGAAAUAUUGGAUUGUGUUUACAUCUUUCAUUUCUACAGAUGGUAAAAUACGGACACACAUUUGGACUAAAACUACUUAUAACAGACAUUCAAU